UCGGGAAUAUUGCGCAAUGGAGGAAACUCUGACGCAGUGACGCCGCGUAUGGGAAGAAGGUUUUCGGAUUGUAAACCAUUUUAGACAGGGAAGAAAAAAGACAGUACCUGUAGAAUAAGCUCCGGCUAACUACGUGCCAGCAGCCGCGGUAAUACGUAGGGAGCAAGCGUUAUCCGGAAUUAUUGGGUGUAAAGGGUGCGUAGACGGGAGAGCAAGUUAGUUGUGAAAUCCCUCGGCUUAACUGAGGAACUGCAACUAAAACUGUUUUUCUUGAGUGCUGGAGAGGAAAGUGGAAUUCCUAGUGUAGCGGUGAAAUGCGUAGAUAUUAGGAGGAACACCAGUGGCGAAGGCGACUUUCUGGACAGUAACUGACGUUGAGGCACGAAAGUGUGGGGAGCAAACA
rnacentral:rRNA from 1 species